rnacentral:rRNA from 1 species
GACGAACGCUGGCGGCGUGCCUAAUACAUGCAAGUAGAACGCACAGUUUAUACCGUAGCUUGCUACACCAUAGACUGUGAGUUGCGAACGGGUGAGUAACGCGUAGGUAACCUGCCUGGUAGCGGGGGAUAACUAUUGGAAGCGAUAGCUAAUACCGCAUAAUAUUGAUUAUUGCAUGAUAAUUGAUUGAAAGAUGCUAUUGCAUCACUACCAGAUGGACCUGCGUUGUAUUAGCUAGUAGGUGAGGUAACGGCUCACCUAGGCGACGAUACAUAGCCGACCUGAGAGGGUGAUCGGCCACCCUGGGACUGAGACACGGCCCAGACUCCUACGGGAGGCAGCAGUAGGGAAUCUUCGGCAAUGGACGAAAGUCUGACCGAGCAACGCCGCGUGAGUGAAGAAGGUUUUCGGAUCGUAAAGCUCUGUUGUAAGAGAAGAACGGGUGUGAGAGUGGAAAGUUCACACUGUGACGGUAUCUUACCAGAAAGGGACGGCUAACUACGUG